ACGCAAGAAAAUAUCUCCAUACUAAGGCUGAUAAAAACAACAUUGUGGUUGAGCGACCUGCACGUAGACUCCCCAUCAGGCCAUCACGUGUACCUCCACCGCUUAGCCUAUCCAUUCGUCUCCAGCGAGAUGCAUCUGUAUCCCUCUCAUCCCCAUCCACAUGUGCUUCCACAGAUAUGUGCAGUCGUUGCUUCAACGCUGCAGAGCCAGCGGGAUUUGCCGCGCUGGGAGAGCCGGCUGUCCGGCGAGCGCCAGCGGGAUUUGUGUCAAUUUUGUGGCUGCAUGCAGUUUCCACAGCAUCUCUUUCCACCGGAGCGCCCGCAGCCCGAUCCCCUCCCCUCUCCUCCGUGAGUAAGAGAGGAGAUAGAGCAGACCGUGCAACUACACACGCAAAGAGAGGACGACAGUUCCUGCUUGAGAGUUGCGGCUUGGCAUGUUCUCCCCUCAGAUCAAGUCAAUGAUACAUGCAAGCAGUCGGCUGCUUCUCACUUGAGGAUCCGUUUGGCAGAGGCGGAAGCACCAGGCAAGUAGGACGCUGAGGCGUUCACUCCGGCGACACCGACACUGACAAUGUGAUCUAAUCGGCGCCGGCAAUUUGAUCCGAUUGGCGGAGUUAAAGACUGCAAUUCUGUGGCCGGUGUAUUCGUCGUUCCACCGCUGCGCCAGCAACAUGAACGCCGGCACAUCCGGAAGCGGCACUGAACACGCCAAGAUCUACACAGUGGCCUUCCUUUUCCCCUGGUUUGGUUGGCUGCGCUAGGCCCAACAGCAGAAGCAUCACUGCGUCUCUCCUCAAAAUUCGCAGGAACCUUGGGUCGACCUCGAGUAUGGAUUCCCUGCCGGCGCCAUGCUACGUGAGGCCCAGCUACAGCAGUCGCUCCGCAUGGCCCUCGUCGAGAUCGUUGGCGGUGAGCAAUACGGAUUCCCGGCCGGCGCCAUGGUACAUGAGGCGGCGUGCCUCGGGUCGGCAGCCUUGCACCCGACAGAUCUUUAGGUUUAUCAAUUUGUUCCGAUUCGAUUCUAGAGAUGCGAUCUGAGGAAAUCGAGAGGAUUAAUUCAUCUUUAUGGCGAUGGCGAUUGGAUUGGUUCUCAGAGUCCGUAUGAUUCUAUUCACGAGUCGGCAGGAACACGCUAUGAACGAACGGACAAGAGUGGUGGGCUGGAUGUAAUGGGCUGACUUCAUUGGCCCAAAUAGAUCAAUAAAACAUAAGGAGCUGUUAAUUAGUACCACCUCGCCUAUAUGUCUAAAUUCAAACUGAAAGCGUAAAUUUAAGGAAAAAAGCGUAUUGUGACGGUGAACCCAACAAAAUCAAUCCGUGCUUUAUUAUUAGGGAGAGAUUAUUAUUAUUAUUAUUAUUAUUAUUAUUAUAUUAUUAUUAUUAUAUUAUUAUUAUUAUAUUAUUAUUACUAGUACAAAUGCCCGUGCGUUGCACCGGGCAAAAAAAAUUGUACCAGUGUUCAUUUCUUAUAUCCAAUUCCAAUAAACUGUCAAUUGGUUUUAUCUUUUGCUUUUCUGGAAAACACGGAUAUUUCUUUACUUUUUAAGAAACUGAACAUUUUUUUAACUUUUUAAUUAGAAUUGGAACAUGUUUUGAACCGAACAUUUUAUGAACACAUACAUUUUUUGUUUUUUUAAUGAUUUUGUGAACAAAUUAAAAUAUGAAAAAAAAUUGAAACCAAGAACAAUUAUGAACACUCAUUAACUUUAAAAAAAACUCACACUCAGUGGCAGUAACUAAAAAAUGAGUGUUGGUGUCCGGACCAUGGAGAAUAGAGUUAAGAUAUUCUACCGGGUGGAGAUGAGUGGUGUAUUUAUUUUUAGUGGGACAUACGGAUGUUGGCAUGUUCUAUACUAUUCGAGAGUUUAAUAACUAAUCUAUUUCUUUUUGGAAAUUUCAAAACAUUUGAAUGCAAACAGACUUAUACUAUGUCAAAUUUUUAUAUUUGUGAGUCUACGUUUGUACUGUGGUUUUCAAAAGAAGAUCUCCUUUAACCUUUGUAUGCCACAAUUUAAUAUGUCAUGUGUUGCACCAGAAGGAAAAAAAUCACCACAUGUUGUUUAGUGAUUCAUUCAUGUUGCCACUUUCCAUGUUCGCCACCGUCGUCAAAGAUGAUACAAUUUUUGGUGUCCGCGGCUGAAAAAAGUUGAUGAAUCCACAUUCAUGUCCCUCGCCGUUGCCUCAAUCAGCAUCACACUAUCACCGGAUGGGAGAGUAGUGGUGCAUUGAAGUGUGAUUGUUUAUAUACACAGUUAUGUGUUAAUAUUCAUAAGCGAAAAGGGUUUUUCUAUGCUGUUUUUCUUUUUAGAAAAUGUUGGUUAUCUGGUUUGCAAAAUUAUAUUAUGUUCCUUUU